rnacentral:rRNA from 2 species
AGUGAAGCGGGAUGAGCUCAAAUUUAAAAUCUGGCUGGUUUACUAGUCCGAAUUGUAGUUUAUAGAAGCGUUUUCGGUGGCAGCCUGGGUAUAAAUCCUUUGGAAUAGGGUAUCAUAGAGGGUGAGAAUCCCGUCUUUGACUCAGUGCAUGCUACUAUGUGAUACGUUUUCAAAGAGUCGAGUUGUUUGGGAAUGCAGCUCAAAAUGGGUGGUAAAUUUCAUCUAAGGCUAAAUAUUGGCGAGAGACCGAUAGCGAACAAGUACCGUGAGGGAAAGAUGAAAAGAACUUUGAAAAGAGAGUUAAACAGUGCGUGAAAUUGUUGAAAGGGAAACGUUUGACACCAGUUAUGCGGGUGGAAAAUCAGUCUUUUGCAAUGGGGAGUUGUGGGCGUUCAGACCGCAAGGCUGGCGUUUGCUUCAUCUUUGUUGUAAGUGAUGCACUUUUUCAUCUGCAGGUCAACAUCAGUUUGCUUUGCUGGACAAAACCCCAAGGGAAGGUGGCAGCUUAGGCUGUGUUAUAGCCCUGGGGCGAUACAGUGGAGUGGACUGAGGUUUCGCAGUGUGUGCUUUCGGGCAAGGCUGACUGGGUGCUAUGAGAUCGUUCGGCGUACAAUGCUUGCAUUUUGCGUCGUGUCUUUUUUAUACUCGCUCAACUCGGCUCUUCCACGCUUAGGAUGUUGACUUAAUGGUUUUAAAUGACCCGUCUUGAAACACGGACCAAGGAGUCUAACAUAUAUGCAAGUGUUUGGGUGGCAAACCCAUGCGCGUAAUGAAAGUGAACGUAGGUGCGAUCCGCAAGGUGCAGCAUCGACCGAUCUUGAUAUUUUUGGAUAGAUUUGAGUAAGAGCAUAUAUGCUGGGACCCGAAAGAUGGUGAACUAUGCCUGAAUAGGGUGAAGCCAGAGGAAACUCUGGUGGAGGCUCGUAGCGAUUCUGACGUGCAAAUCGAUCGUCAAAUUUGGGUAUAGGGGCGAAAGACUAAUCGAA